rnacentral:misc_RNA from 1 species
GACGAAGUACCAAAAGUAGAUACAAAAUGGCAUGGUUGUUCACCACUUCCUAAAAACUGCCAAUCUUUUCAUAAGGCAUAUAAAAUUUGAAAGAAAACACAUCCAUUAAAAUUAAUCCAAAUGGAUUACAUCAAACAUGGGAGGUCAAAGAACAAAAGGACACCAGAUGCUCAGACAAAAAGAGUAUCAACGGUUACUGGGACAAGAAACAAGGAUAACUAUAAAAGUAACAAGGGAUUUGAAUAGGAAACACAGUACUAAAUUUCAGCAACUCAUUUGAGGAAGAAUUCAAGAAUUGAUAACUAAAAAAAGACAUGCAUACACACAUAAAACAGAUUAAACUACAACUGCAGUAUUCUA